rnacentral:misc_RNA from 1 species
AAGUCGUAACAAGGUUUCCGUAGGUGAACCUGCGGAAGGAUCAUUAAAACGUAUCCAACGUUAACUAACUGUGAACUCGUUUCCUCCCUUGGCAUAGAGACAUUGGAGCUGUGAUCGACAUUGAGUGGGAUCUGUAACAGGAUCGGUCUUUCGCAGUCACUGAUACUUUCGGGUAUAUCGACAACAGUAUCUAUGUUGAGGCUUUUCUUUCUGUUUCCACCCUCCAUUCAAAGGUGGGGCAGGGGGAGUUUUACAAAUAACCAUUAUCACCCUUUUUUGCUAGUUGACUUUUUUAAUGUUGAUGUUUACGAAAGUAGACUUCACACGUUUCAUUAUUUGAACGUAAAAUACAACUCUUAGCAAUGGAUAUCUAGGUUCUC